rnacentral:lncRNA from 1 species
CACUUAAAAUAAUUGCUACAAAAAUAAUAUUAAUAGACGAAUCCAGAAAAAUAUUCUUUUCAAAAAAUAACGUGUCCUUUCGUAACAUGGAGAGAUUCACCAACCACAGUAUGGAUAAUCGAAGAAAGUUUAACGUAUCGAACUUCCGAAGAAAUGGCGUUGAAAAGGCAUACGGUCGAAUACUACUAGUAAAUAAGAGGAAGAAGAAAAAAAUGUUGGAGAAAGAGAAAGAAGUUCCCCGGUUUCUUUGUUUCUCUCCUCGUUUUCACGAGGGAGAGCCAUCACACACGCAUUCGGAGGGCCGCUCCUGUGACACGUAAUGGUGCGCGCGAUUCAUAUCUGAGCGAACGCACUGUAACGCGAGGAACGCUCCGCCCUAUGAACGAGUUGAGAGAGUCCAGUAUCAAGAAGGAAGGAAAGGACGCUUGUGGCAAUUCUGGUUUCGUUCUCCGAAGUUGUUGCCGUCGGUACUAUUGCUGUUACUGCUGCUGCUACACCUUGCAUUGAUAUCGCAAAGCAGUCGAUCGUCGAGAGUACCUACAC